CCUACGGGUGGCAGCAGUGGGGAAUAUUGCACAAUGGGGGAAACUCUGAUGCAGCGACGCCGCGUGAGUGAAGAAGUAAUUCGUUAUGUAAAGCUCUAUCAGCAGGGAAGAAAAUGACGGUACCUGAGUAAGAAGCCCCGGCUAACUACGUGCCAGCAGCCGCGGUAAUACGUAGGGGGAAAGCGUUAUCCGGAUUUACUGGGUGCAAAGGGAGCGUAGACGGGAGUGCAAGGCUGGAGUGAAAGGCGGGGGCUCAACCCCCGGACUGCCCUGGAACCUGGACGGCUGGAGUGCAGGAAGGGAGAGUGGAAUUCAUGGUGUAGCGGUGAAAUGCGUAGAUAUUAGGAAGAACACCAGUGGCGAAGGCGACUGACUGGACUGUAACUGACGUUGAGGCUCGAAAGCGUGGGGAGCAAACAGGAUUAGAUACCCCAGUAGUC
rnacentral:rRNA from 1 species